rnacentral:tRNA from 1 species
GAUUAAAUAGUUUAUUAAAAAUUUUAAUUUGUGGAAUUGAAGAUAUAAAAAUAUAAAUUUUAUUUUAAUCA